rnacentral:rRNA from 1 species
GACACAGGGAGGUAGUGACAAGAAAUAAGAAUACGGGGUUUGAAGUUUUGUAAUUGGAAUGAUGGGAAUUUAAACCCCUUCCAGAGUAUCAAUUGGAGGGCAAGUCUGGUGCCAGCAGCCGCGGUAAUUCCAGCUCCAAUAGCGUAUAUUAAACUUGUUGCAGUUAAAAAGCUCGUAGUUGAAUUUCUGCUGCAUCGUGGUUCUUCGCUAUGUCGAGUGAUCUUCGUUGUGGCUUAGUUGGGGCAUGUUUUCAUGACUCGACGUUUACUUUGAGAAAAUUAGAGUGCUUCAAGCAGGCUUUUGCCUUGAAUACUUUAGCAUGGAAUAAUGGAGUAGGACUUUGGUUCUAUUUUGUUGGUUUUAGGAGCCGGAGUAAUGGUUAAUAGGAACAGUUGGGGGCAUUCGUAUUUGACUGUCAGAGGUGAAAUUCUUAG